AGGUGGGGUAAAAAGAGAGGUUUUUAGGCCUCGGAACACUGAAUACACUUGCAACGCAAGUGAUGACCUUUUGGGUCUUCACAGGAUAAGGUUACAGUUUAUGUAGGAUGUUAAAAAUCAUUAAAAGAUGGUAGAAUCAUGAAAAGAUGUUUAAUUAGUAAAGAUUAAUUUUUUUUAUUAACUUAUAACAUUAAUUUUUAACUAUAUUUAUUAGAUGGGAAUAGAGAUGCUCUAACCUUGAAAGAGACUCUGAAAUGGUCAAUGUGGAACAGAAACAUUAACAUUAAAAGAAAUGUGGAACUAAACAAGUGAUGGUGACACGCAACAAGUGGAGAUUAUGUUGUUCAAUAUAAGUGGGUUAAAAAGGUAUAGACACAAAAAUUGGAUCUAUUACAGGUAAAUGUUUAAUAGAUACAACUCUGUUACUUGCUUCAGCCAAACAAGCAGCAUCGUGGUAGAACUUUAUAUUUGAGGUGUACUUUUGAGCUUUACUCUACGUGCCAUAAUAUUGAGUUAUUUCACCAUGAAAUGUUAUGUUACUUGAUAACUGUCUAAAGCUAACUAUUAUAACUUAUGCAAAUAAACUAACACGCUGAAGAAGGAUAUAAUAUCUAGAAAGAAUACAAAUAAGGAUAAAACAAUUGUACUUUAUUUUGUCUAUUUUGAAGGUACCAGUAACUUAAUUGAUAACAAUAAACCUUGCACAAUGCUUGCUCAAGCAUUAGCACAAGUUAGCUAUCACAACAAUUAGUCGUGCUUAGAAACUUUUUCUUGAAGGAAACCUUUGUUUAAUGCAACAUUUGAACAUUCGUGUAGCUAAGGUGAGCAUUAACAAGGUUUUUUUCAUCUUAGGAAUAAAUUUAUAGUAUGCAGAAGGUACAUUUUGUUUGAAAUUGGUUGAAAAGAUAGUUUUUGCUCAGUAAGUAUAUUUUUAUACUCUAACAAAGAUAAUUACAUAUACCAGUUGGGAAUUUCAGAAAUCAUAGCAUAAGUUUUGUCAGUCAAAUGGUUGGAGGCCUCAUCCUUUUGUGGCAUUUCUUUGAGGAGUAUAUUCAGGUGUCCGCUUAUGCAAAAAAUAGUUUUGUGCAUUAAAAUAUAAAUUAACAUGUUUAUAUAUUAUUUCGUGCGCUGUUAAUUUUUUAUUCUAUAAUCUAAAGUAAUCAUAUUUAACGGAUACUGACUCUUUUCGUGCACUAUUUUAUGCAUCCUCUUAACCGAUUCUAGGUAAUUUUUACUUCACUAUUAGACUGUUUUUGCUACUUCUUUUACCCUUCAAAGCUUAAAUUUGUUUCACCUUGGCAAUAUUUCUUUUGAGAGCAAUACUUGGACAUAUCGUGGAAGGAGGUGCGCUUUCUUUAAAAAAAACUUUCAAUGUUUUGUGUUAACUAACUAAUUAUAUUCUUUAUUUUGUGACAAAUUAUUGGAACUUAUAUGUAUGUAUGAUCUGAGGAUUUAAGGAUGUUGCAGGAACUAUUUUAGAGGGAAAAGCAAUCCAUCCAUUAUAUUCUCUCGCUUUUUUCUCAUAAAGUUGUGUUCACAGUCUCUGUGUUAGUGUAUAUGUAUGAGAUCUUUUUUUUUAUACAAAUUACAUAUAUGUAUGCCAUUUGGAUACACAAAGGUAUUACGCAGUUAAAUUUUUAUUUUCAAUCUACAAUUUAAAUGGAUUUGGCAUGUAGGAUUGUGUCAAUGGUCCUCCUGGUGUGUCAAGUGGGAGAAAUACCUUUGUUUGUAACUGAAAAUGUGUUGUACAUUUUAUUAUUUCUCCUGCAUAAUAUUGGAAAUAUAUCAUCAGACAUAUUCUAUGUCGUUUUUACACGAUGUUGUGAUUGAUAGUUUUACUUUUAUUCGUUCCAUGGAAUAUUACUAUCAUUUGUGGUUGUAGAAUGAAUAGGCCUGAUUAAAAAGUGAAAUGGGUCUAAAUAGAGCGGAGUGGGAAUUAAUGAAUUCUCUUCCUCCUCUUUCAUCUUCUUCUCUUUUGUCUUUCAUUUUUGGGAAAUAAUUUAUUUAUUUGUGUUUUUGUCUUGAUUGUUUGGUAUUGGACAUACAUUUUAUAUUCUUAUAGUAAUAUAAUAUCACAAAAAUACAUAGAGAUACAAAAGAAAAUUAACCGUUGAGGUGAACUUUGAUUAACUAUCACAAAGUGACAUUUUCUCAACAUUCAUCGAGUGUUUUAAAGGUUACAUUUCUUUCUUUUUCCUUAAUAUGUUAUUUUGGAAAUUCAAAAUACUCCAAGUACGAUUUAGAGAAGGAAUGAUAAUGCAUAGAUAUUACAGAAAUAGAAAACUAAACCUUGUGUUGAACUUUUAACAAUAUUUAAAAGAACUAUUUGUUUUGUUGAAUUUUAAGUUUUAGUAUAUAUAGAUCUUUUUUUUUGUUUAAUAGUGAUGGUAUUAUUUUGUGGCAUGAUGUUUUGGAUAUCAUCAAUACAUGGCAAAUAAUACAACAAGGUACCAAUGUCAAUAAUUUAUAUUCAUUCAAGCAUAUUACAUUAACUAUUUAUCCAAUUUUAUUUUCAUCGAUAAAAGAAGAUUUAAUCCCUUAAUUUAAACCUUCAAAUUAGCCCAAUAAAAUUCUUGCAAUGAAGUAAGGUGUAUGCUUUCAUGUGUAUAAAAAUAAAGAAAGCGAGUCUGGAUGAUUUUAGAAAGAAGUAACCAAUCUUAGAAAUGCAACUACAUCACAAUUGAUAAUGUUAUGGUUGAAGAAUAGAGAAAAUAAAAUUAUGAAAAAUGUAACAAUAACUUUUCAUUCAUAUUUUAUGUAUAAGACCGCGCGAAGCGCAGGCAAAUUGACUGGUAUAUAUAUAAAAGAGGAAAUAGAUAUGAUGACUUGGCACCUCUCUUUUUCCAAGGAUUCUAUUUAUUUAUUUUCUCCUUUUUUUGUUUUUUUCUCUUAUUUUUAUGUUAAAUUAGCUCAAUAAUAGCUUGAGUCUUUAUUAUACUCUUUAAACCAUUCCAUUUAAAAACUCAAAAUGUCACCUUUCUUAAACCUUAUAGCGUUUCAAACUUUUUACCUUCCCCAUAAUUGCUCAUUAAACCUUAUAACAUUUUUCCCUUCCCCAUAAUUGCUCAUUAAUUAGAUACAUUAACAUCUCAUAUAUUGUGUUUAAAUGGCCAAUGUGUUUAGGCACUCAUUGUCACCCUACAAAAGCAAAUUCAGAAAAUGGAGGUUAGUCCACAUAUCAAGCAUUUCGGUAAGUUUUGUGGAAAAGAUCUGCGGAAUUGGGAGAGCAUAUUUUCCAAUUUAAAGAACAUUUUGAUAUAUAGCUAUUGUGAGAAAAGUGUAACAAAUUAUGCAAAACUUUACUGAUGCAGUGGGCGAAGCAGUUGAGAAUAAAUCGGUGUUAUUUUCACCUCAAGUAAUAAAUAGGCAUCUCUCACAUGCAAUGAGAUAGUUUUAUGUAAAAUUGAUGUGUAUUCCUUAAUUAAUUAUCUCUUUGAUUUCUUAAAUUGAAAAUAAGUUUCAAGAAAUUAGUACUCUUAUGAUAUUCGUGUAAUAGUCAUUUAUAU